CUUGGAACCUGCUGGGCCCCAGCUAUCACAUCUAUACACAGGGACUUUCCCAGAUAGCCUGGGAGGCACCACAGAGAGCUCAUAACCAAUUGCUCUUUUUCAUGGCACUCACAAGACACAGCCAUGUGAACUAGAGAGAGAGUUUCCCUUUGCCCAUAGGCUUAUCCUUGUGCACCAGUCAUGGAAGGAAAGACACUCUCACUGUUGGUCUCUCUGAAAGUUGGACAAGGAGCGGUCCAGGCAAAUGAGGUAGAGGACAAAAACAGCGUCUUGAGUCUAAGCUUGAGACCACUUAUCAAAUGCUUGAUCUUGGGGCCUCACAGCAUCAGACAGCAAAAAGCAGAUGGUGCAUUUAAAAGUUCACUUACCCUCUGCCAACAGCAGGUUUGUUUCUUCUCAAGAAGAAAGUUUUGGUCUAUUUUCUUUGGAAAACUGAAAGAAGAAGAAGGAAAGGAAACAGAUUUAGAAAACAACUUGGAGCCAUUUUCUGAAUCACCACAGUUUGUUCUUUCCCCCAGGGGCCACACCCUAGAGUCUUUACCCAUGGCCAUCUGUAACUAGGCUUACAAGGGAACACAGACAGGGCAAGAAGUGAUAGAGGCUUCCUUUUAAGCCCUCUGAGUAACAUCAUGCAGUGGCUACAAUGUCUCAAGUGCUGCCUGGUCCAACCAGCUGCAGGAAAGAACCAAGCUGACCUGAGUGUUGGGCCAGAGGAAGGCUGAACGGUGGAGGCCAUUAACACUGAAAGCAGAAGAGUUCCAGCUCCAUCCCAGUGCAUUAUGGGAGCUUUAAGUCUCCAGAGACUUUGAAUGGAGCUCCGUGGGUCUAGAGGGGAUGUGAAACAAAGCCAUCCCAACAGGUCAUAUUUCAUGCCUGAGUCUCGAGUCUAUCUUAACCUCUUCUUGAUGGUUUAUUGAGAGACAGAAGAUGGUGAGAGAAGCCAUGAGUCAUGAGGCCAUGAAGCCAUGAAGCCAUGAGGCCAUGGAGUCAUGAGGCCAUGUGGAGAGUUUUUGCUGAGGGCCCCACACCAGCCUGAAAGUGUGUUCUCAGAUUUGGGAAGGCCUGCCUCAGCAUGCCUGAGAGAAGACUGUGCAUGCUCAGAUGGCACCCACCCCCAUGGGGCUGUCUGUCAGUCCCAGACCAUGCCGUCUAAGAUAUAAUUUUGGGUUCCGGGAAGAACAAGACUUAACUGAAAAGAUGGCCAGAGACUGUACAAGCGGUGGACUCUGAGACACCCCAACCACACCUCUGACACAAUCUUUAAAAGCAACACGAUAUGAUUUGCUCACACGGGAAGAGCCCCUUUAUCCUCAAGACAGACAAGAGGACAACAGGAAGAGUGACAGGCCUGAGGGAGCCAAGUUCAGAGUCAUACCCAGCAUGCUUCUCAGCUCUGCCACCCCUAACUGAGUGAUUCCAGCCAGGGGAGCCCUCUGCUUGUCUACCUCAUCUGCAUAAUGACCAUGAUCCUGCCAGCUGCUGUGCGCCUCUCUGGGAGUCCUACUAUGUCACUAGGCAUGCAGGAGAGACAAUAAACAGAACAGCCCUGGCUACCCUUUAGCUCCA
ensembl:lncRNA